UACGUAGGGUGCAAGCGUUGUCCGGAAUUAUUGGGCGUAAAGAGCUCGUAGGCGGUUUGUCGCGUCGAAUGUGAAAACCCGGGGCUCAACUCCGGGCCUGCAUUCGAUACGGGCAGACUAGAGUUCGGUAGGGGAGACUGGAAUUCCUGGUGUAGCGGUGAAAUGCGCAGAUAUCAGGAGGAACACCGGUGGCGAAGGCGGGUCUCUGGGCAGUAACUGACGCUGAGGAGCGAAAGCGUGGGGAGCAAACAGG
rnacentral:rRNA from 1 species